AGUGAACGCUGGCGGUAGGCCUAACACAUGCAAGUCGAACGGCAGCACAGUAAGAGCUUGCUCUUACGGGUGGCGAGUGGCGGACGGGUGAGGAAUACAUCGGAAUCUACUUUUUCGUGGGGGAUAACGUAGGGAAACUUACGCUAAUACCGCAUACGGCCUACGGGUGAAAGCAGGGGAUCUUCGGACCUUGCGCGAUUGAAUGAGCCGAUGUAGGAUUAGCUAGUUGGCGGGGGAAAGGCCCACCAAGGCGACGAUCCGUAGCUGGUCUGAGAGGAGGAGUAGGCACAACGGGGGUGGGGAACGGCCCAGAGUCUGAGGGGAGGAAGGAGGGGGGAAUAGUGGAAAAUGGGGGGAAGCGUGGGCCAGCAAGGCGGCGGGAGUGAUGAAGGCCUUAGGGAAGGAAAGCUCUUGGACACGGGAUGAUAAUGACAGUACCGGGAGAAUAAGCGCCGGCUAACUUCGUG
rnacentral:rRNA from 1 species